GACGUGUAGGCGGUGGCAGAUGAUCUGGGGAUCGAUGCCAGGCAUGUCAGAUGGCGACCAUGCAAAUACGUCUUUGUUGUUCCGGAGGAAGGCUGCAAGUGCUAUCUUUUCCUCAUGGCUUAGGAGCGAGCCGAUCCGCGCUUUUCUCUCUGGCUUGUCAGGAUCAAGGGGUACUAGCUCAACGUCCUCUUCGGGCUUCCAUCCUUCUUCAGGAGAGACCUCCGG
rnacentral:lncRNA from 1 species